rnacentral:rRNA from 1 species
GGGCGCACGGUGGAUGCCUUGACACUAGGAGUCGAUGAAGGACGGGACUAACGCCGAUAUGCUUCGGGGAGCUGUAAGUAAGCUUUGAUCCGAAGAUUUCCGAAUGGGGAAACCCACCAUACGUAAUGGUAUGGUAUCCUUAUCUGAAUACAUAGGGUAAGGAAGACAGACCCAGGGAACUGAAACAUCUAAGUACCUGGAGGAAGAGAAAGCAAAUGCGAUUUCCUGAGUAGCGGCGAGCGAAACGGAACAUAGCCCAAACCAAGAGGCUUGCCUCUUGGGGUUGUAGGACAUUCUAUACGGAGUUACAAAGGAACGAGGUAGACGAAGCGACCUGGAAAGGUCCGUCGUAGAGGGUAACAACCCCGUAGUCGAAACUUCGUUCUCUCUUGAAUGUAUCCUGAGUACGGCGGAACACGUGAAAUUCCGUCGGAAUCUGGGAGGACCAUCUCCCAAGGCUAAAUACUCCCUAGUGAUCGAUAGUGAACCAGUACCGUGAGAGAAAGGUGAAAAGCACCCCGGAAGGGGAGUGAAAGAGAUCCUGAAACCGUGUGCCUACAAAUAGUCAGAGCCCGUUAACGGGUGAUGGCGUGCCUUUUGUAGAAUGAACCGGCGAGUUACGAUCCCGUGCGAGGUUAAGCUGAAGAGGCGGAGCCGCAGCGAAAGCGAGUCUGAAUAGGGCGUUUAGUACGUGGUCGUAGACCCGAAACCAGGUGAUCUACCCAUGUCCAGGGUGAAGUUCAGGUAACACUGAAUGGAGGCCCGAACCCACGCACGUUGAAAAGUGCGGGGAUGAGGUGUGGGUAGCGGAGAAAUUCCAAUCGAACCUGGAGAUAGCUGGUUCUCCCCGAAAUAGCUUUAGGGCUAGCCUUAAGUGUAAGAGUCUUGGAGGUAGAGCACUGAUUGGACUAGGGGUCCUCAUCGGAUUACCGAAUUCAGUCAAACUCCGAAUGCCAAUGACUUAUCCUUAGGAGUCAGACUGCGAGUGAUAAGAUCCGUAGUCAAAAGGGAAACAGCCCAGACCGCCAGCUAAGGUCCCAAAGUGUGUAUUAAGUGGAAAAGGAUGUGGAGUUGCUUAGACAACUAGGAUGUUGGCUUAGAAGCAGCCACCAUUUAAAGAGUGCGUAAUAGCUCACUAGUCGAGUGACUCUGCGCCGAAAAUGUACCGGGGCUAAAUACACCACCGAAGCUGCGGAUUGAUACCAAUGGUAUCAGUGGUAGGGGAGCGUUCUAAGGACAGUGAAGUCAGACCGGAAGGACUGGUGGAGUGCUUAGAAGUGAGAAUGCCGGUAUGAGUAGCGAAAGACGGGUGAGAAUCCCGUCCACCGAAUGCCUAAGGGUUCCUGAGGAAGGCUCGUCCGCUCAGGGUUAGUCAGGACCUAAGCCGAGGCCGACAGGCGUAGGCGAUGGACAACAGGUUGAUAUUCCUGUACCACCUCUUUAUCGUUUGAGCAAUGGAGGGACGCAGAAGGAUAGAAGAAGCGUGCGAUUGGUUGUGCACGUCCAAGCAGUUAGGCUGAUAAGUAGGCAAAUCCGCUUAUCGUGAAGGCUGAGCUGUGAUGGGGAAGCUCCUUAUGGAGCGAAGUCUUUGAUUCCCCGCUGCCAAGAAAAGCUUCUAGCGAGAUAAAAGGUGCCUGUACCGCAAACCGACACAGGUAGGCGAGGAGAGAAUCCUAAGGUGUGCGAGAGAACUCUGGUUAAGGAACUCGGCAAAAUGACCCCGUAACUUCGGGAGAAGGGGUGCUUUCUUAACGGAAAGCCGCAGUGAAUAGGCCCAAGCGACUGUUUAGCAAAAACACAGCUCUCUGCGAAGCCGUAAGGCGAAGUAUAGGGGGUGACACCUGCCCGGUGCUGGAAGGUUAAGGAGAGGGGUUAGCGUAAGCGAAGCUCUGAACUGAAGCCCCAGUAAACGGCGGCCGUAACUAUAACGGUCCUAAGGUAGCGAAAUUCCUUGUCGGGUAAGUUCCGACCCGCACGAAAGGUGUAACGAUUUGGGCACUGUCUCAACCAGAGACUCGGUGAAAUUAUAGUACCUGUGAAGAUGCAGGUUACCCGCGACAGGACGGAAAGACCCCGUGGAGCUUUACUGUAGCCUGAUAUUGAAUUUUGGUACAGUUUGUACAGGAUAGGCGGGAGCCUUUGAAACCGGAGCGCUAGCUUCGGUGGAGGCGCUGGUGGGAUACCGCCCUGACUGUAUUGAAAUUCUAACCUACGGGUCUUAUCGACCCGGGAGACAGUGUCAGGUGGGCAGUUUGACUGGGGCGGUCGCCUCCUAAAGUGUAACGGAGGCGCCCAAAGGUUCCCUCAGAAUGGUUGGAAAUCAUUCGUAGAGUGCAAAGGCAUAAGGGAGCUUGACUGCGAGACCUACAAGUCGAGCAGGGACGAAAGUCGGGCUUAGUGAUCCGGUGGUUCCGCAUGGAAGGGCCAUCGCUCAACGGAUAAAAGCUACCCCGGGGAUAACAGGCUUAUCUCCCCCAAGAGUCCACAUCGACGGGGAGGUUUGGCACCUCGAUGUCGGCUCAUCGCAUCCUGGGGCUGUAGUCGGUCCCAAGGGUUGGGCUGUUCGCCCAUUAAAGCGGUACGCGAGCUGGGUUCAGAACGUCGUGAGACAGUUCGGUCCCUAUCCGUCGUGGGCGUAGGAAAUUUGAGAGGAGCUGUCCUUAGUACGAGAGGACCGGGAUGGACGCACCGCUGGUGUACCAGUUGUUCUGCCAAGGGCAUAGCUGGGUAGCUAUGUGCGGAAGGGAUAAGUGCUGAAAGCAUCUAAGCAUGAAGCCCCCCUCAAGAUGAGAUUUCCCAUAGCGUAAGCUAGUAAGAUCCCUGAAAGAUGAUCAGGUUGAUAGGUUCGAGGUGGAAGCAUGGUGACAUGUGGAGCUGACGAAUACUAAUAGAUCGAGGACUUAACCAU